GACGAACGCUGGCGGCGUGGAUUAGGCAUGCAAGUCGAACGGUAGGAUACCUUCGGGUAUCUGAGAGUGGCGAACGGGUGAGUAACACGUAGGUGAUCUACCCUCAAGAUUGGGACAACCCAGGGAAACUUGGGCUAAUACCGGAUGAAAGCAGCAGUGAUGUUGUUUGAAAGGUGGCGUAAGCUGCCGUUUGGGGAUGAGCCUGCGCUCUAUUAGUUAGUUGGCGGGGUAAAGGCCCACCAAGGCGAUGAUAGAUAGGCGGCCUUAACGGGUGGUCGCCCACACUGGGAUUGAGAUACGGCCCAGACUCCUACGGGAGGCAGCAGUCGAGAAUAGUCUACAAUGGCCAAAGGCUGAUAGUGCGACGCCGCGUGAACGAAGAAGCCCUUCGGGGUGUAAAGUUCUUUUAUAUGUGAGCAGUGCUUUCUAUGUGAACAGCAUGGGGAGAGAGAUAUUAGCAUAUGAAUAAGCAACGGCUAACUCCGUGCCAGC
rnacentral:rRNA from 1 species